rnacentral:rRNA from 1 species
UAGCGGCGGACGGGUGAGUAAUGCUUAGGAAUCUGCCUAUUAGUGGGGGACAACAUUCCGAAAGGGAUGCUAAUACCGCAUACGCCCUACGGGGGAAAGCAGGGGAUCUUCGGACCUUGCGCUAAUAGAUGAGCCUAAGUCGGAUUAGCUAGUUGGUGGGGUAAAGGCCUACCAAGGCGACGAUCUGUAGCGGGUCUGAGAGGAUGAUCCGCCACACUGGGACUGAGACACGGCCCAGACUCCUACGGGAGGCAGCAGUGGGGAAUAUUGGACAAUGGGGGGAACCCUGAUCCAGCCAUGCCGCGUGUGUGAAGAAGGCCUUUUGGUUGUAAAGCACUUUAAGCGAGGAGGAGGCGCUCUAGGAUAAUACCCUAGAUGCGUGGACGUUACUCGCAGAAUAAGCACCGGCUAACUCUGUGCCAGCAGCCGCGGUAAUACAGAGGGUGCGAGCGUUAAUCGGAUUUACUGGGCGUAAAGCGCGCGUAGGUGGCUAAUUAAGUCAAAUGUGAAAUCCCCGAGCUUAACUUGGGAAUUGCAUUCGAUACUGGUUAGCUAGAGUAUGGGAGAGGAUGGUAGAAUUCCAGGUGUAGCGGUGAAAUGCGUAGAGAUCUGGAGGAAUACCGAUGGCGAAGGCAGCCAUCUGGCCUAAUACUGACACUGAGGUGCGAAAGCAUGGGGAGCAAACAGGAUUAGAUACCCUGGUAGUCCAUG